UUGGUUAUUAUCCUUCCCGUACUA
rnacentral:tRNA from 2 species